rnacentral:rRNA from 1 species
GUGGUUGUUGCUGGCCCUCUCGGGGGCAUGUGCACACCCACCAUCCUCAUCUCUCCACCUGUGCACCUCUUGUAGACCUGGAUUGACUUUCCGAGGCAACUCGGUCGGGAAGAUUGCUGCGAUCUGUGAGCCAGCUUUCUUUGCAUGUCCAGGCCUAUGUUUUUCAUAUACCCCUAUAGAAUGUAACAGAAUGUAUCAUUGGGCCUUGUGCCUAUAAACCUUAUACAACUUUCAGCAACGGAUCUCUUGGCUCUCGCAUCGAUGAAGAACGCAGCGAAAUGCGAUAAGUAAUGUGAAUUGCAGAAUUCAGUGAAUCAUCGAAUCUUUGAACGCACCUUGCGCUCCUUGGUAUUCCGAGGAGCAUGCCUGUUUGAGUGUCAUUAAAUUCUCAACCUUAUUAACUUUUGUUGAUAAUGGAUUGGAUUGUGGGGGUUUCUUUUGCUGGCUUCUUCACAGAGAUCAGCUCCCCUUAAAUGCAUUAGCUGGUGCCCCGCGUGGACCAUCUAUUGGUGUGAUAAUUAUCUACGCCGUGGAUGUCUGCAAUUAUAUGGGUUUCGCACUGCUUCUAACCGUCUGUUCAUUCRGACAAUACAUGACAAUUUGACCUCAAAUCAGGUAGGACUACCCGCUGAACUUAAGCAUAUCAAUAAGCGGAGGAAAAGAAACUAACAAGGAUUCCCCUAGUAACUGCGAGUGAAGCGGGAAAAGCUCAAAUUUAAAAUCUGGCGGUCUCCGGCCGUCCGAGUUGUAAUCUARARAAGUGUUAUCCGCGCUGGACCGUGUAC